rnacentral:rRNA from 1 species
UGGGGAAUAUUGCACAAUGGACGGAAGUCUGAUGCAGCGACGCCGCGUGGGGGAUGAAGGCUUUCGGGUUGUAAACUCCUUUUAGUACAGAAGAAGCUCUAUUGUGACGGUAUGUGCAGAAGAAGCGCCGGCUAACUACGUGCCAGCAGCCGCGGUAAUACGUAGGGCGCGAGCGUUGUCCGGAAUUAUUGGGCGUAAAGAGCCCGUAGGCGGUUUGUCGCGUCUGCUGUGAAAGACCGGGGCUUAACUCCGGGGCUGCAGUGGGUACGGGCAGGCUGGAGUGCGGUAGGGGUAAGCGGAAUUCGUGGUGUAGCGGUGGAAUGCGCAGAUAUCAGGAGGAACACCGAUGGCGAAGGCAGGUUACUGGGCCGUUACUGACGCUGAGGAGCGAUAGCAUGGGGAGCGAACGGG